GCUCGCCAGUGGGCGCUUUGUACGGCGAGACAAAAAAAGAAACGGAUCGCCCAGCCCUAGCCUAGCGAGUCCUCAACUUUUCCCUCUCCCUCGUCCGCCGCCAUCACCGGCGACCUACCCCACAGCCGCUGCUGCCAACCUGCACGGAGGCGGCGGCCUGGGCGACAUGGCACUCUCGUCGUCUAGAUCGAACUGAGCGGGAGGGGGAGAACAAUUGCCGCCUUCUCAUGCUGUCUCGUCUCCACCGUACCUUGUCUGCGCCGCGUGGUGAUGACCGGCGGCACAGCCGGUGUUGGCGGCAGUGGUCGAUCCCCUGGUUGUCGUAGCUUCUGGAAGGCCGGCACUAACGAGGCCCCCUCCGUCCCCAUCCACGAGUUCCACGACAGGGGACUUCGACCGCGCCUGCGUGCAUCCCAGGUUCCUCCGCAUCAACCUGACCUCCCACAAGUUGGCGUUCAGAGCUAUAUCUGAACUUCUUGAUAAUGGAGUAGAUGAGGCAUGAGUGAAAAGGUGAUUAAGAAUUCUGAUGGACAGUGAUGGGGCGGUAUUUGUCGAGGUUGCUAGGUGGGUGGACUUUCCUUUUCUGCAAGGACUUCUCUAGUUCUAUGCUUUCACUUUGGAUGACCGUGUGAAGCACUGAAUUCUGACGUCGGCCUCGCCGCAGAAGUCCGCCCGCACCGCCGAUCGGCGGGUGUCGAAGAGGCCCAAAUCGCUCCCACUCUGAAGCUCAAGGAGGUUCCAAUCACCACCGGCGAAGAGGAUGAGGACAUCCUUGAUAUGUAGCCACGCAAGGUGGAUCCCUCGUCCCGUCGAAGCCGCGAGAAGAGGAGCCCCACCCGGACGACUUCCCCCCGUCUCCCGCGGAUGGUUCUUCUUCCAUUGAGACGCCCAGGCCCGACGGAUCUUGCUCGUCGCAGCCCAGGGCCUGGUCCGUCGGAGCGGUCAGAGAGGAGUGGUGGAUGUGCGUCCUCUUAGACGCCGCCUUUCAGAGAAGGCGGGGAUGAGCGGAUUGCAGCGAGGGAAGCGGCUCGGCUCGGACCGUCCAUGGCGCUAGCACGAUAGCUUGCCUCCUCUUCCGGCAUGGCUAUUGUUUUGGUCCACGCCGUUUCUGCCUCGACGGACACUGUCGUCGUAGGUGCCGAUGAGGAAGAGGUGAGUUCCAGAGGAAGCGUCAUCAUGCCCAGUGUUCUAUAAAGAAAGCCGGCGGCCAGAGACUUGUGAUCGAGAGUUCGUGACGGGGAAAUAGAGAAUAGGGUAGUGAAUUAGCGAUGCGAUCUCACGUCUCAGGAGUCACGAUCGUACCGAUUGGACGACAUGAUUGGAUGCGUCUGGUGUACUUUCCUAUGUUGCUACGUCUUUCCUUUGCUUGGGCUAAUUUCAUCCCAGGAGAAGUUAUGGGCCGAUGGGCCACCAGCAUACAGCAUAUCUGGGAGGGGGCCCCUGGAUUUGAGAGGCCUGGGGCGGCCACCCCCUGCCCCCCCAGGGCCGGGCCUGCGAGCAUCACAGUGCCUUGGGCGCCUCGGCUGAGACGAGCUUGCGGAGGAUGGAGGAGUCCCGGGAUCCGUUGCCCACAAACUCGAUGACGCGGGCUCGAACACGUCUCGGCCGUCGUCGGCGCCCCUUGCGAGCUCCCCGUCGAGCUCUGCUCCCGCCCGCCACUCGAGUGCGUCGCGGCCGGCUGCUCUCUCUAAUGCACGUUCAGUGCUUGUUGUAGUGCCAAAGAAAGACAAAGGAGGAAGAGGGAAAAGACCAGUCAACAUGCCCGCAUGGCGAAUUUUCUUUUGUCAACUCAGCUCCGACGGGUGGGCUUCAUGGGUCAGAAAUGACUUUUUUAUUGCUAGUUUAGUGCUACUCAUAUAUGUCAAAGUUUAGCUUUGCUUUCGGUGGUUUUUGUCAUUAAAAAACUGAUGGUUUUAUGUGAUUGUGGUGGUUUUAUGCUU